rnacentral:lncRNA from 1 species
CACAAAAACAUCCACCACACAAACACUAUCAUUAUCAGCAGCACACAAAACACCAUCUAAAUCUCACCCAAAUCGUCAGAUCUAUCACCACAAAAUUGCCGCCACCACCACCACACAAAACACCAUCCAAACCCACAAAAUUGCCACCAACCCAAGCUAUUUCUGCUUCGCGUGGCUUGCUAUAGUGUUCCGACGAUUUCAUUUCACCAUCGGAGUAGUAGAUUUGCUUCACUAAUUCAUUUCAUUAUCUCAGCUCGUGGUGAUUUGGGAAGGGAAAAGUACGACGACGUGGUAUUUCUUCAUUACAGUAGCACCAGCGAAGGGUACUCCAGCAAUGACAUGCUUCGAUGACGACGACGUCUAACGAAGAGGAGACAUGAGAUGGAGUCAAGGAGAUGAAGAGGAGUCAGUGACAAGAGGGAGAUGGACAAUGAGAGUGAAAUGAAGAGAGAAGGGAAAUGAGAAGGGUUUUUAAUUGAAUUGAGUGGGUUAAUUAUAUAUAAUACCUUAUUUUUGCAUAAAUAAAUUUUACCCCUGAAUUUUUAAUUUGAAAGUUUUAAUACCUAAUUUUUUGUAAUUUCCUCUUUCAAGAAUGUGUAAUGAAGCUUGAAAGAGGAGAAGAUGAAAUGAUGAAGAUGAAUGAAAUGUUUGGUUAAGUUUUCUUCUUCCCGACCUCUCCUCUUAAUCUCUUCUUCUCCGGUCUUCUCCCUCCAUUCUCUCCCUUUUCUGCUGCCUAUUUCUUUUUAAUCCUCUGCUUAUUUUCUGCUGGUUAUUGUUCAACUGCUAAAAUCCCAUUGAUCCUACAUCAUCUUUCCCGGUCACUUAUAUAUGUGUUUCUUUGGUAUCCUGGUGCUCGUUUGAAUAGCAUAGUUUUAUACAAUGGGUCGUUGAAUUGUUAAGCUAGAACUUCAUUUAUAAUAAUUCAUCCUAG